UACAGAGGGUGCGAGCGUUGUUCGGAAUUAUUGGGCGUAAAGCGCUUGUAGGCGGCACGUCAAGUCGCGUGUGAAAUCCCCAGGCUUAACCUGGGAAGUGCGCGCGAAACUGACGAGCUUGAGUGCCGGAGAGGGUCGCGGAAUUCCCGGUGUAGAGGUGAAAUUCGUAGAUAUCGGGAGGAACACCAGUGGCGAAGGCGACUUACUGGACACAUAUUGACGCUGAGGUGCGAAAGCGUGGGGAGCAAACAGG
rnacentral:rRNA from 1 species